rnacentral:rRNA from 1 species
AUUGAACGCUGGCGGCAGGCUUAACACAUGCAAGUCGAGCGGGGAAGGGUAGCUUGCUACCUGACCUAGCGGCGGACGGGUGAGUAAUGCUUAGGAAUCUGCCUAUUAGUGGGGGACAACAUUCCGAAAGGAAUGCUAAUACCGCAUACGCCCUACGGGGGAAAGCAGGGGAUCUUCGGACCUUGCGCUAAUAGAUGAGCCUAAGUCAGAUUAGCUAGUUGGUGGGGUAAAGGCCUACCAAGGCGACGAUCUGUAGCGGGUCUGAGAGGAUGAUCCGCCACACUGGGACUGAGACACGGCCCAGACUCCUACGGGAGGCAGCAGUGGGGAAUAUUGGACAAUGGGCGCAAGCCUGAUCCAGCCAUGCCGCGUGUGUGAAGAAGGCCUUUUGGUUGCAAAGCACUUUAAGCGAGGAGGAGGCUACUUGGAUUAAUACUCUAGGAUAGUGGACGUUACUCGCAGAAUAAGCACCGGCUAACUCUGUGCCAGCAGCCGCGGUAAUACAGAGGGUGUGAGCGUUAAUCGGAUUUACUGGGCGUAAAGCGUGCGUAGGCGGCUUUUUAAGUCGGAUGUGAAAUCCCUGAGCUUAACUUAGGAAUUGCAUUCGAUACUGGGAAGCUAGAGUAUGGGAGAGGAUGGUAGAAUUCCAGGUGUAGCGGUGAAAUGCGUAGAGAUCUGGAGGAAUACCGAUGGCGAAAGCAGCCAUCUGGCCUAAUACUGACGCUGAGGUACGAAAGCAUGGGAGCAAACAGG